UACGUAGGGCGCAAGCGUUGUCCGGAAUUAUUGGGCGUAAAGAGCUCGUAGGCGGCUUGUUGCGUCGGAUGUGAAAGCCCGGGGCUUAACUCCGGGUCUGCAUUCGAUACGGGCAGGCUUGAGUUCGGUAGGGGAGACUGGAAUUCCUGGUGUAGCGGUGAAAUGCGCAGAUAUCAGGAGGAACACCGGUGGCGAAGGCGGGUCUCUGGGCCGAUACUGACGCUGAGGAGCGAAAGCGUGGGGAGCGAACAGG
rnacentral:rRNA from 1 species